UCUGUUAGACAGUGCAAUUAUCUCCCAAGGGAAGGGGUAGCUGCCCUGCUACUUCGAACUCCUAAAACCGGGCUGGAUGGAAAACUAGAAAACGUACAGUGCAGAGAAUGAGAUGGGCAGGGGAAGAGAGAGGGGUUUAUUGGGGUGUUUGCCCCUCCUUUUUAUAGUUUCCAUCACCCUCUCAAAAAACGUUUCCAGCUGAGAACCAGGAGUCACAGAGUCUAUGUGGAAGGAUGUUCCCUGCUGGAUUUUUUCAUCUGUUUGAACGUCCUUUGUUUCCCUUUGCGCUUGAUGAAUCUGUUGACUGGUUAAAUGCAAAGUAAAGCAAGCACACAUUCCUUUGUUUAGGACA